GUGGGGAAUAUUGGACAAUGGGCGAAAGCCUGAUCCAGCCAUGCCGCGUGUGUGAAGAAGGUCUUCGGAUUGUAAAGCACUUUAAGUUGGGAGGAAGGGCAGUAAGUUAAUACCUUGCUGUUUUGACGUUACCAACAGAAUAAGCACCGGCUAACUUCGUGCCAGCAGCCGCGGCAAUACGAAGGGUGCAAGCGUUAAUCGGAAUUACUGGGCGUAAAGCGCGCGUAGGUGGUUUUGUAAGUUGGAGGUGAAAUCCCCGGGCUCAACCUGGGAAUUGCCUCCAAAACUGCAUGACUAGAGUACGGUAGAGGGUAGUGGAAUUUCCUGUGUAGCGGUGAAAUGCGUAGAUAUAGGAAGGAACACCAGUGGCGAAGGCGACUACCUGGACUGAUACUGACACUGAGGUGCGAAAGCGUGGGGAGCAAACAGGAUUAGAUACCCUUGUAGUCC
rnacentral:rRNA from 1 species